rnacentral:lncRNA from 1 species
ACUGGGAGCUGAAGUUUCCAUUUUAUUUAGACUUAACUAGCUCAAAUUUAAAUAGCCACAUGUAACUUAUGGCUUGGUAUUGGAGGGCAUAGAACAUCUAUAGAAAAUCAAAAGCAGUGGGUAAAAAAUGAGGAAUCAGAAGAAUUGCCUGGGGACUAUAUAAUUCAGCUCUGAUGGGGAUAUACAAUGACAAACAGAGGUAAAGUUAACCUCUACCUGUGGUUCAGGAGGAGGAGCGCCCCCUGCCUUCUGUGCCUAACCUGCUCAGAACAUCAUUGACAAUGAGCUGUCCAUGCUUGAGAAGAUCUGCAGAGCCAUGAGAAUAAAGAGAACUUCACGUAUGUGUGGCUGUUGCUGGUUGUUACCAAGGUUGGAUCCUUAGGACACAGGUUUUCUUUUUUAAUGACAGGAGGAAGACUGCACACCUUCAAACUUAAGGAAGAGUGGUCUACGUUUCUGUUUUGAUAGUUCACUAGGUUAGAGCCCUAGUCCGAUUAAA